GGUCUUUAACCCUCAGUUCAUGUAGAGUUCCAGGUUCCUUUGUUCAGAUGCAGAACUGUUUGGGAUGUUCUUUAACUUCUAUCUGCCCGAAACCGUCAGAUUUGUUUACCUGCUUCGACACUUGGUGCAUCCAUGGAGUUUCGUCUUUGUGUGGAAAUUACUCAGCCUCGGACCAAGUUCACGUCUCAUCUUUCAAGUUGACUGAUGGAAUUUGACCAUGCUGAGAACGGACAGAAGAGCUGACUCCUGGAAACGGCAGCACGUCGGCGAGGGAGGAGGAACUUUAGUUGCUGAGUGGAUGUGUACUAACAAUACAGAAGUCUGCUGUUUUCUUUACUUGCCUUUGUUUUACAUAAAACAAAUUACACCUG
ensembl:lncRNA